CUCCUGAUUACAAGAAAGACCUUUAUUCCAACAGGUGAAGUUGAAGAGUAUUCAUAAGUCUCACUGCAAUUUUUAAACUUUUUUCCAAAGGCAAGUUUUUACCACCUUCUAAUUUACAACAAAUGCUAUCCAUAUUGGGAUGACUCCUCAAACUCUAUCUUCAACUCAGGUGACUGUUGAGAUUAAGUUCCAUUCAUUCAACAGCCAACUGCACAUUCUAUGCUCAACAUAACCAUGACUAAACUCAUCAGCCUCCACAUCAAACCUGGUCUUCUUCCUUUCUUCAUGUGGUCUUGACUGAUUUCCUCUGCACAAGCCAGAAUCUAUCUAGCCCAUUAAGUGAAGGCUCUAUGCCAUCCACAGGGCUGACUGCCUUUUAAACACAGAACAUCCGUCUUCCCUACCAUUGUGUGCCUAGCUCUGUGUCUAACUCCAGGAACGCCUAAAGCAAACUUACUUCACCAUUUCCACAUUCCACUACCACAGACCCCAGGAUCUGGACCACCAGGCGUAUCUUCCUUGGAGAGUCGGCUUCUCAUAGGAGAGUCCUUCUCAUCCUUGCAGUGCCUGGCACAAGCAGCUCCAAGGAUGACAGCACCUUCAAACUCAGGACCAGGAAUUAACAGGUGCCCAGAAAAGUCCAGAUAGAUGGAAAAUGGAAAGCUUUCUGUGCUACAUAAUCUGCAUGAAGGAAGAUGAAUACACCACAGCUCCAGAGGUCUAAGGGAUCAUUCCAGAUGAUGAACUAGGAUCCUUCAGUCCUUAUUCCAAUUGACUUAGAUGAAUUUGGCACUGCAGAUUAUACGAGAUGAGUGUCAGCCAUCACCGCUCACCAUGGGCCUGACUUGCCCGGCCUCCUUGAACCGAUGAGGGUGGUUCAAGCUUCAUUCUAGCUUCAGUAUUGCGUCUAUUUUACCAAACAGGAAUUCAAGGUGCAAUGAAGCCACACACUCGAGCAAUUUAAUGUGCUCCAGACUCAGCUGGAGUUGCCUGGACUCCUCAUUCUCCAGACUACCAACCACUGAAUCACUUCACAGUUUCUUGGAAAACCAGGGCAACCAACAUACUGUUACAGCCUCCUGAGAUGUUCUUCUCACUGAGACCUGACCAUCUCAGAGAAUUCAGGAUUGCUACAAUCUCCAUUUUAGAGAUAUCGAAAAUGAGACAAGAGGCUAAAAUGGAUGCCUGUCCAAGUCAUACAGGUUGUAAGUGGCAGACCUGGGAAUCAAAUCCAGUCAGGUGAACACCAGAGCCUGUACAACCACUGCCCAUUCUGCCCUAAGAGGAGACAGGAGGAAGUAGCAGGACCCCUGAUGACAGUGAUGCUUGGACUAGACUUUAGAGACAAUUCAAAAAUCCCCAGGAAACAAAUACAGUUCUGUAGCAGAUUUUACUGAACAUUGAAGAACUGGUACAAGGAGAGGUUAGAGGCCAUCAGAGGUGAAUGGAGCACCAUGCUUUCUACCAAGUCUUGCACCUGAAGGAAAUCAUUCAGCUCCUCCUUCUGACAUUCACUUCAGGUCAAAACAAUAAAAACACAUUAGGCAUCAUGAGGUACCAGUAGUAAUCCUGGAUGAAGAAUCAGAAGUCCUAGGUCUGAUUUCCAGCUCUGCAAUAUAUUUUCUGUGUGAUUUUCGGGCAAAUUACUUAACCUCUUAAGAUCUGUUUCCUUGCCUCUAAAUAAAA
ensembl:lncRNA